UUCGCAAUGGAAAAGAGUUUUAAAAACGCUAUUCAUUUAAAACACUUUCGCUCCAAUGCUGCGGUCGACAUAUUAGAAAGAUGGGUUUGCAAUAUUACUAAUGUUUCUUUAGAAAGGCCUCUUCUAACCACGUUAAUAACAAUGACUACUAGUGUAAUCUUUCUAACAGUAAUGUUAGUUUUGGCAGUCAUUUUUGCUGCUGUAAUAUGUCUUACAAGCAUUAUAUUGUUAAUAGAAGGGUUUUUGUUGGUGGUGAUAAUAAUUACAGUUAGUCUACUUACAAUGAUUGGUUCAUACAUUUAUGUCGUUGGCAUUACCUUAACUCUUUAUUUUAAAGGUGAAAUUAAAGAAGACGGAACCACGACAGAAACAACAUAAAUUAAUAU